CAUAGAUGCGCCAGGCCAAAGGCACCAUGAUUGUGUGACUUGGACUUCAGUGGAUAUAAACAGCAAGCUCCGGGGCCUGUGUGCUGAGCUGUGUUUGGAAAGCUUAUUAAACACUGUUGUUGCCAUAGGCUAUGGUAUGCAAUGUUUGUGCCUAACCCAAGAACAUUUAGCGCAAGGGGUGACCUUGAUAAAUGCUGUGCAAUUUAGUGCAGACCCUGACCGUGUUCUAAGGAAAAUGACCAAACCGGAAGAUGCCUGCUUAGAGCGUUAUAUUGACCGUCUAGUCCGCACAAAGAGUUACAGAACCCUGCUUAAGAAAAAAACUAUUUGUAAGAAAUCUAAAAGGAUUAAGUUAGAGAAUGGUGAGGGGACAAACAUGCGAUAUAAAACUUGGUAGCUGUAAUUUUUUUUUAAAAGGGGGGCUUGUGACUAUUUGUGUUUUGUUAGAAGGCCUUUGGCCUUUAAGUGCGCUAAAAAGUUUUAAUAAAGCAUUUUGGUUUUGGUUUUAAGAAGCUGUAUGUUUUUUAAAUAAAAAAAAUAAAUUGUUUGUGAGAAUUAGCUCUUGUGUUUUGUGUGUAGCAAAAAGCUGAAAUGUAUGUUGUGGUGGGGAAGGGGAAAAAAUCCUAAAAAUGUGCUUACAAUAAAACAACCAAGGCUAGUUCAGACAUGUGUCUGAGUACAAGAAAGUUAAUAUGGAGAUAUACUUAUCUCAUAGAACUGCCUUUACUAGCAGGGCCAAAUAUUGAUUUGAGAAUAUUGAGAACCAGAGCCCUAAGUGGUUCUCUUAAGGCUUGAACUCACAGCCCUGGGCUUAGCAGGCCAAUGCUUAAACCACUGAGCCAUCCUUAGUCUGUUAAACUGAAUGGGUUUUAACCAUACACACACACACACACACACACACCCACCCAAACUGGUUUCACUCCCAAAUUACAAAAGGGAAUGCUAUGGGUGGGGUCAUUACAUUAACCUGUUAGCAAACUAUGUUGAAGUUUUGUUUAACAAUGGGCUAAGAGGGGAUAAAAACCUCAGGUAUGCAGCACUUUGUCCUUUUUCAACUUGGAUAGCUGCUGGACUGCAAAAAGAGUGUGAUCUGUUAGCAUGGAACCAGGAACUUUAAACUGCAUUUUACCACCAGGCCAAGGCUUAAGCACACAUGAGGGGGAACAGAACAACCAUGUGCCUGCAACACUUUAUCCCAUAGUGAAAGGGAACUUUUUUUUACUGUGUAUAAUGUGAUGGGUUUAAGGCCCUGUGGG